AGGGUUCGAUUAUGGCUCAGGAUGAACGCUGGCGGCGUGCUCAACACAUGCAAGUCGAACGGAGAGCUCAUGACAGAGGAUUCGUCCAAUGGAUUGAGUUUCUUAGUGGCGGACGGGUGAGUAACGCGUGAGGAACCUGCCUCGGAGUGGGGAAUAACAGUCCGAAAGGACUGCUAAUACCGCAUAAUGCAGUUGUGUCGCAUGACACUGACUGCCAAAGAUUUAUCGCUCUGAGAUGGCCUCGCGUCUGAUUAGCUGGUUGGCGGGGUAACGGCCCACCAAGGCGACGAUCAGUAGCCGGACUGAGAGGUUGGCCGGCCACAUUGGGACUGAGACACGGCCCAG
rnacentral:rRNA from 1 species